GGUGUAGCUCAGUUGUAGAGUAGUUGCCUAGCAUGCAAAAGGCUCUGGGUUUGAUCCCCAAUACC
rnacentral:tRNA from 1 species